GAUUACGUGGUUCGUGAGUUCAAGCCACCUGGCGGGCUCUGUGACAGCUGAGACCCUUUAGCCUGUUUCAGAUUCUGUGUCUCCCUGUCUCUUUCUGCCCCUUCCCUGCUUUCAUGCUCUCUCUCCCUC